rnacentral:rRNA from 1 species
AGAUACCCCUGGUAGUCCGCACGGUAAACGAUGGAUGCCCGCUGUUCGCGAAUAUACAGUGAGCGGCCAAGAGAAAUCGUUAAGCAUCCCACCUGGGGAGUACGCCGGCAACGGUGAAACUCAAAGGAAAUUGACGGGGGCCCGCACAAGCGGAGGAACAUGUGGUUUAAUUCGAUGAUACGCGAGGAACCUUACCCGGGCUUGAACUGCCAGCGAACGAUCCAGAGAUGGUGAGGCCCUUCGGGGCGCUGGUGGAGGUGCUGCAUGGUUGUCGUCAGCUCGUGCCGCGAGGUGUCGGCUUAAGUGCCAUAACGAGCGCAACCCUUUUCCUUAGUUGCCAUCAGGUGAUGCUGGGCACUCUGGGGACACUGCCACCGUAAGGUGUGAGGAAGGUGGGGAUGACGUCAAAUCAGCACGGCCCUUACGUCCGGGGCUACACACGUGGUACAAUGGGGAGUACAGAGAGUCAGGCGCCGGCAACGUCGCCUUAAUCCAAAAAGCUCUCCUCAGUUCGGAUUGGGGUCUGCAACCCGACCCCAUGAAGCUGGAUUC